rnacentral:rRNA from 1 species
GUGUCAGCCGCCGCGGUAAUACGGAGGGUGCGAGCGUUGUCCGGAAUCACUGGGCGUAAAGGGCGCGUAGGUGGCGCCGCAAGUCAACGGUGAAAGCUCGACGCUUAACGUCGAGUCGGCCGUCGAGACUGCGGGGCUCGAGCACUGUAGAGGCUCAUGGAAUUCCGGGUGUAGCGGUGGAAUGCGUAGAGAUCCGGAAGAACACCGGUGGCGAAGGCGGUGAGCUGGGCAGUUGCUGACACUGAGGCGCGACAGCGUGGGGAGCAAACAGGAUUAGAUACCCUGGUAGUCC